rnacentral:rRNA from 1 species
ACGGGGUGCAGCAGGCGCGAAAACUCCGCAAUGCACGAAAGUGUGACGGGGCUACCCCGAGUGCCAUCCGCUGAGGAUGGCUUUUCCUUGGUAUAACUAGCCGGGGGAAUAAGGAGAGGGCAAGACUGGUGUCAGCCGCCGCGGUAAUACCAGCUCUCCGAGUGGUAGGGAUGAUUAUUGGGCUUAAAGCGUCCGUAGCCGGCUUAGCAAGUCUCCUGUUAAAUUCGGCGACCUAAUCGUUGAGCCGCGGGAGAUACUACUAGGCUAGGAGGCGGGAGAGGUCGACGGUACUUCUGGGGUAGGGGUGAAAUCCUAUAAUCCCGGGAGGACCACCAGUGGCGAAGGCUGUCGACUAGAACGCGCUCGACGGUGAGGGACGAAAGCUGGGGGAGCGAACCGGAUUAGAUACCCGGGUAGUCCCAGCUGUAAACGAUGCGGGCUAGGUGUUGGGGUGGCUACGUGCCACUUCAGUGCCGCAGGGAAGCCAUUAAGCCCGCCGCCUGGGGAGUACGGCCGCAAGGCUGAAACUUAAAGGAAUUGGCGGGGGAGCA